rnacentral:rRNA from 1 species
AUUGAACGCUGGCGGCAGGCUUAACACAUGCAAGUCGAGCGAGCGGCAGACGGGUGAGUAAUGUCUGGGAAACUGCCUGAUGGAGGGGGAAAACUACUGGAAACGGUAGCUAAUCCCGCAUACCAUCAGAUGUGCCCAUAUGGGCUGAGCUAGGAGGGGGGGUAAUGGAACACCUAGGCGACGAGCCCUAGCUGGUCUGAGAGGAUGACCAGCAACACUGGAGCUGAGACGAGGGGCCGAAUCCUACGGGAGGCAGCAGUGGAGAAUAUUGCACAAUGGGCGCAAGCCUAAUGCAGCCAUGCCGCGUGUAUGAAGAAGGGCAUCGGGUUGUAAAGCACUUUAAGCGAGGAGGCGUUACUCACAGAAGAAGCACCGGCUAACUCCGUGCCAGCAGCCGCGGUAAUAC